AAGAGACAGGACUGUGGGUGAUAAGAUUCAUAGUCGAAAGGGCAACAGCCCAGAUCGUCAGCUAAGGUCCCUAAAGGUAAGUUAAGUGGUAAAGGAUGUGGGAUUGAACAGACAACCAGGAUGUUGGCUUAGAAGCAGCCACUCAUUCAAAGAGUGCGUAAUAGCUCACUGGUCGAGUGAUCC
rnacentral:rRNA from 1 species